UGCAUUCACUACUGUAAGUCGCUCUGGAUAAGAGCGUUCACUAAAUGACUAUAA
rfam:Salmo salar isolate Sally breed double haploid chromosome ssa19, whole genome shotgun sequence.